GCGGGAUAGCUCAGCUGGUUAGAGCGCAUGAUUCAUAAUCAUGAGGUCGGGGGUUCAAGUCCCCCUCCCG
rnacentral:tRNA from 1 species